GCGGGUAUGGCGAAAUUGGCAUACGCACCAGAUUUAGGUUCUGGCGGAGAAAUCCGUGCAGGUUCAACUCCUGUUACCCGCACCA
rnacentral:tRNA from 1 species